ACAAGUUUGUCCAUAUCACCGUCCUGAAAACAUUGAUAAACCCACUGUUCGAGAACAGCUUCAUCCUCUGGAAGACUCCAAUCCACAUUCUUUCGACAACACGUGAUCUCCAACAACAUAACUCCAAAGCUAUAAACAUCUGCUUUAACUGUCACCGGCAUAUUCCGGUGCCAUUCUGGUGCUACAUAUCCCCUUGUCCCUCUGAUUCCCGUGAAGGUUUUAGUUUGGUCUGACUUCAGAAACUUUGCCAAUCCAAAGUCAGAAACUUUGGGGCACCUGCUUUCAUCUAUUAGUAUAUUCUGAGGUUUUAUAUCACAGUGGAUGAUCUGAGUGUCGCACUCUUCAUGUAGAUAAACAAUACCCCUUGCAAUGUUGCGAGCAAUUUCCAACCUUUCAGGGAAGCAAGGUCGUUUUUCAAGUGAGAAGAGUAUGUCAGCAAGGGAGCCAUUGCUCAUGUACUCGUAUACCAGGAGCCUGUGAUGUUCAUCAUGGCAAUAGCCGAGCAGACGGACUAGGUUUCUGUGAUGUGUUUUCCCAAUGACUUUCAUCUCAUUCUGAAAUUCUCUUUCCCCUUCAGCUAGAGCUUUCUCCAGUCUCUUGACAGCAACAACCUUCCGAGUACUUGAUAUUAUCCCUUUAUAAACUGUCCCAAAUGAUCCCCUGCCAAUUUCUUCCUUGAAACCACCAGUAACAUCUUCUAGCUCUGCAUAAGUGAAAGCUCGAGGAGCAAAUUCCUCAUUCAAUGCACUACCAUCAUUUUUGGGAACCUUUUUAUAUGCCAAUACAUGAUAUCUGUAAAUGAUGAUUCCGAAAAUCGCCACCAUAGCAAGCCCAAAAGCAACAACUGAACAACUUAUUAUUACGAUUCUCCUGCCAGUGCCAAGGUUCUUCUUCUCUUUUCUGUCCAUGGAGGAUAUGGGUCUACCCACCUUGACGACAGCCAAGUUGGAACUUUCUAAGUUUCUCCUCCCAAAUCUCAAAGGAAGCCUUUGCUUUCUGCAGUACUGCCCAUCAGUGAAUAAUGCUGCUUCACAGUUACAGUCUUCCAAACAGGCUUGCUUACAAUUGUCUUUCAUUGUUAAAGACAAAACGGAGUAUGAAACAUCUUCCCAGAAUAUUAGACAGCUCUUCCAUGGUGUAUGUGCUACUUCCAUUCUUGUUUGCAACUUUCAGCAUGAAAUCCCUCUCACAGCCAGAAGUCCAAUUUCCCUGGGUAACAAACUUAAAUCCAGGAAGACAAAUACAUUCAGCUUCCUGAUCCUUCAACACAAUAUCCAUUAAGACCGCAUGAUCCUUUCGGGUGGCACUUUGCUUGUGGAUGACCACACAGCUGACCAGUUUCCAUUCCGUGUCAGAUUUUGUGAAUAUAAUCUGAAAAUCCCAUCAGCAUCAAGUUUCAUAUUAAUUGUUUCUUUCGUGGGAUAUCCUCCAGCUGUAAUGUUUUUAUGUUGAAACCUGUGGAAUUGAGCAGGUAGAGACGGCCAUCCGGAUCAAGAUUUAGGGUCACAUUAUCUCCCGCCCCAUUAGUAUCAGAUGCAAAAUAAGCAUAUGGAGCUGUAUCUGGAGUACUAACAGGAUACUGCACAAGGUGUCCAUCAUGUUGCAUCUUGAGUCGGUAAAUACCAGUUGAGAGGUCAGUUUCUGAAACAGGAGAAACCAGCUCUGCCCCUGCUCUGAGCUGUUGAGUUGGCAAAAGGGUAUCUGUUGGGUGGUCAAAACUCUGCCAUAUAAUCUCGUGAUCAGAAUUAUAUAGCACAAAGUUGCCUGAAUCAGACAUAGAAGCUAAAGAAGCUGGCUGGGAAGCAGAAACUAUCGGAGUCUCAUCCCCUUGUGCUGAUCUCAAGACAACCCUGCCAUCACUGGUGAAGAGCAAGGUCGCAUUACUGGGGACUGGGGCGUCAUCCCUUCUAGCAAAGAAAGAGAAGAUGCUUUACAAGAGGCACAGAAGCAAGUCCUUAAAGUCAACAGAAAGAAGGACAACAAAGCAAAGACCAUCAUCUAUCAAGGUCUUGAUGAAGAUACAUUCGAGAUAAUAGCUUCCGCUGAAACGUCACAUGAUAUAUGGGAGGCUCUCCAACAAAAAUACAAAGGUGCUGACAGAAUCAAGAAGAUUCGUCUUCAAUCUUUGAAAGGAGAAUUUGAAUUAUUACGAAUGAAGUCCUCAGAAUCUAUUUCUGAUUAUCAUACAAGGAUUAUGGUGAUAGUCAAUCAGAUGAGGAGAAAUGGAGAAGCCAUCAUAGAUACUCGAAUUAUUGAGAAAAUUUUGAGAUCCAUAGAUCCAAAAUUUGAUCAUGUUGUUGUCGCAAUUGAAGAGUCCAAGGAAGUGGACAAGUUGACAGUGGAUGAGCUUAUGAGUUCUUUGCAAGCUCAUGAGCAGAAGAUUGUAAUGCGAAAUGAAGAUAAGGCCAUUGAGCAUGCCUUACAAGCAAAGCUGUCUUUCAAGGACAGAUAUGAGCAAGGGGAGACUUCAACAAGUGGCUACACCACUCAAGGAGGAAGUCAACAAUCCAGAGGAGGAUUCCAGAGAUUCCAAGGAAGAGGUUCUUGGAAUACAAGCUUCAGAGGAAGAGGUGGUAGAAACACCACCAGAGGAGGCCAAGGCCAACAAGCAUUCACUCCCAGAGGAAGAGGAGGCGGUUACAAUAACCGUGACAAGAGGAAUAUCCAAUGUUAUAGUUGCAAUCAAUUUGGGCACUAUAGCACUGAAUGCCGAUGGAAAGCUCCGUUGGAGAUACGUGAGCAAGCCAACUAUGUAGAGAAGCAUGAUGGAGAAGCAUCUGCAUUUCUUGUCCAACAAGGACAUGGCGAGAAAAAGAGGAGAUAUGGUAUCUAGAUACUGGAGCCAGCAAUCACAUGUGCGGCUACCGAGAGUUAUUUGGUGAUCUAGAUGAGACCAAGCAAGGUCUAGUUACUUUUGGAGAUACCACAAAGGUUCCAUUCAAAGGUAAAGGCAACAUCCCAGUCAAGUUGAAGAAUGGCGAUUCCAGCUACAUCGCCGAUGUGUAUUAUGUCCCAGCCAUAAAGCAGAACCUGAUCAGCUUAGGUCAACUUUUGGAGAGAGGAUAUAUUUUUACUCGAAGAAUUGUCAUCUGCAAUUAGAGACAACAAUGGGAGAUUAAUGGCCUACGUGAAAAUGUCCAAGAAUAGGAUGUUUCCUUUGAACAUCCAGUAUGAUGCAACAAGGUGUUUGAGUGCCAUCACCAACAGUGAAGAAUGGCUUUGGCACCUGAGGCUUGGACAUCUGAAUUUCACAAGUUGAAGAUGCUAGCAAGCAAGAAGAUGGUCAAAGGUUUGCCUCACAUUGAUCAUCCAGAUGAAGUCUGUGAGAGUUGUGUCCUCAGCAAACAUCACAGAUCCAGUUUUGCCAAAGAAGUCAACUGGAGAGCAAAGAGGCCACUGGAGUUAGUACACACAGAUGUGUGUGGCCCAAUUACGCCUAUGUCGACUGGACAAAAUAGGUACUUCCUCACUUUUACUGAUGAUUUUAGUAGAAAGACGUGGAUAUACUUUCUGAAGAGGAAGUCAGAAGUAUUCAAUUGUUUUAAAGAUUUUAAAGCAAUUGUGGAGAAGCAAACUGGUUACACGAUCAGAACCGUAAGAUCUGAUCAAGGUGGAGAAUAUACAGCAAAUGACUUUGAAGCCUAUUGUACACAACAAGGCAUCAGACAUCAGACGACGCCAGCUUAUACACCACAGCUGAACGGUGUAGCAGAAAGGAAGAAUCGCACGAUUCUUGACAUGGCAGAAGUUGCUCAAAGCAAAGAAGCUGCCCAAGCAAUACUGGGCUGAAGCUGUAUCAUGUGCAGUGUAUCUGUUGAAUCGCUGCCCAACCAGAAGUUUGCAAGGAGUCACUCCAGAAGAAGCAUGGAGUGGUCACAAACCAAGUGUUACUCAUCUACGAGUCUUUGGUUGUGUGGCAUAUGCAAAGAUCCCAGAUGCAAGAAGGAGAAAGCUCGAUGAUAAGAGCGAGAAAUGCAUCUUUGUCGGAUAUGGUGAAAGAAGGAUGGGAUACAGACUGUAUAAUCCCAUCACGAAGAAGGUGAUUACGAGUAGAGAUGUUAUCUUUGAAGAAGAUAAAUCUUGGGCAUGGAAUGUGAUCAAGAAGCAGUCAAAUGGAUCAAUCUUGAUUUGAUCCUUGAAGGUGAAGAAGUACCAACAGUACUUGUAGAAGAACCGAUUGUGCCAGCAGCUGAACCACAAAGUCCAGUGUUUAUACCAGUAGCUGAACCACAAAGUCCGGUACACAGAUUCCCUGUAUUCAACAGGAGGAACACACCAGGAGCAUCAUCAUCAACACCACCAUCAGCAUCCUCGUCAGAAGGACCAAGAAAGAUGCGGAAUCUUGAAGAGUUGUACGAUACCACUCAGGUCAUGGAAGAUACAACUUUGUUUUGUUUCCAUGCAGAUAAGGACCCACCAGAAAAGAAGAAAGCAAAAGGUGUCAAAAGGGUCUACAAGACGAAAGCCAAAUUAGUGGAUAAAGGCUACAAGAGAGAAGGCAUUGAAAGAAGAAGUGUCCAUGCUUGGCAUGACAUCCCUCGAUUGAGUUUAAAGGGGAGAUUUGUUGAAUUAAACUCAACAUCUAGAUGGUCAAGGAAGGAAACCACCAGCUGCCACCGACCAGCCGUCAGCCACCAGCCGCCUUCACACCGCCGGUCAACAGCCGCCUUCACACCUGGAACAGUAGAUUUUUGUAUUCUGAAUUUAUGUAUAAAUAGGGUGCUCAGUUAUGUUAAAUUGUGUGGAGAGAAUUGAGAGAAACACUUGAAAGAGAAAGAGAGAGAGAGAGGGCGUGUAUUAAGCUUUUGUUUUGUGUUAAUUGUAAGCUUCGGUUUUGUGUAAUAAAACAGUGUGUUUUAUCCCCUCUGAGUGUCUCAAAGCCACCACCAGUGGUUUCUCCCACCAACAGCCCACACAACAGUCUUUAGUGAAAUCCCGGAUAGAAAAACCCCUAUAGAAUAGCCGUCGCGUUGUCGGAAAAAUCCGAAAGCAUAAAGACCAGAAGGUGACAACCAUAAGGAGUUUGUGAAAGGUGUUAGAGAAGAUCCGAGGGUUAUAUUGGUCUGUCUUUGAGCUGAAGCUGUAAAAGAUAAGGCGAGAAGAAGAAAAAAGAUGAUAGAAGCCAUGGAUAGGGAUUUAGCUCUUGUCUGGUAUGGGAGUGUCAAUAUAAGGAUGUCUAAUGUUCCAGCACUCCAGUCUCUUUCUUUGGGUUCCAGCAGUCAAGCCAGGCACUCAGAACAUGAAAGUCUAGCCAUAAAAUCCACGCUUGCUUGUAUGCUUUCAAAGUCAAUGCAGUUGCGACGCCCCAUUUGAACAGCCAUUUGCUAAUUUCCCCUGGACUGUUCUUGGUUCUAAUUUUCUGCAGCAGAUUCUUUUUUAUUUGUCAAGUACCAUCAAUAUGCUUUUGAUAACAUAUUGAUGGUAUGGUUUUUUCUAUGGUUUUUUCAAUGGACCGUUGAUUCUAUGGUUUUUUUCCACACGUAUUUUGCAGGAACAGAAAUUGGACGUAUGAGUAAAGUAAUGUAUCUCUUGUCCUUGGCUGUAGCCAGUCUUUCUUUGAGCGUGUUUGGAAUUAAGAUAGUAAUAAUGGUUUAAAAUGUUUUUUAUUUAAAAAUAUAUUAAAAUAAAAAUUUGUUAUUUUAAAAAAAAUUAUUUUUAAUUUUAAUAUAUUAAAAUAAUUUAAAAAUAUAAACAAAAUUUAAAAUUUAAAAUAACAGAAAUGUGUUCGAUUGACGGAUUGAGGGUGCCCCUGUAUGACUUUAUUCAGAGUAUAAUUAAGGUGGUCACAACAGGGACUGUUCUCAGCAAAAAUGUCUUCUCUGACUAGCUUCAAAGCCAUGGGUGCGCUUUGAGGGGCUUUAUAAUUUAUUUAUUAAAAAUGUAUUAUGAAAAAGUAAAUAUGUAAAUCUUCAUGGGAGAUCUCUAAUAGAUGAAUUCUACAUUUUUUUUUGCCCGUAAGUUUUUUCUAACUUUAAAAAAUAUAAAGUCCAUGCAGUUAUAACUUAAAUCAACCUGGAUUAAUUUAACUAAUAUACAAAGCUCAAGGUGCAAUUAUUUAAUAUUAAAAAUUAAAAUUAUAUAAAUAAAAAAUAUUAAAUAAAAAAAUUUAAGUCAACUCAUCACCCGCAAUACAAGACUAGAACUAAAAAAUAAUUAAAAAAAAACUUAAAAAAACUCAUGAGCACUGUAUAUUGAAAUUGAAAAUGCUGUUGAAAGUUAUAUUUAUUGAAAUUAAAGGUUUUUUCAUAUUUUCAUAAAGGUUUACAUCAUUGUUUUACUUUUUUUAAAAAAAUUAUUAUUUGACAUUGUUUUUUUUUUAAAAAGGCUUUGUAGUUUUUAAUUUUUAUUUCAAUUGUAGUGUCUCGAUCUUAUAAUUUAAAUUAUAAAUUUACUGGGUUAAUUCAAGUUGACUCGAUCCUUUUUCUAGAUUCACUUUUCUAUGAAAGGAAUUUUACUCUCUUUUUUAACAUUAUUUUUUUAAAAAAAUAAAAUUAGUUCAUCCCUGUGGCGCAGAGCAGGUGCACAUCUAGUCUCUCUGCUAAAUGUUUUGCAAUCUGAUUUGCUUCUCUAAAUACAUGACUGAAACUGACUAAUAUAUAAUUAAACAAACUCUAGAGAAUCCCAUACAUACCUAAUCGUUUGAACGCGAAAUUGAUGCAUUUGGAUGUAAAGUGAAAACCGUAAAUUAGGACUCCUAAAUUUCUAGUUUUUAGGGUUCAGAUUUCUAUCAGUCAUGAAGAGAGAGAUUUUGAUUUUUUUUUGAGAGAUAAAGGAGGACAAGAGAAAGUAUUGAAUGUGAGUGUUACCAGUCAUUUCUUAUAUAUUAUAUAUAUGAGGGUAAUUUUUUUUUUUGAUUAUUUUAAAGAUUUUUUAUUAUAAUUUCUCAAAGUAUUUUUUAUAAUGGGGAAAUGAAAACACGAUCAAAGCACAAGAAUGAUAAAUAUCCGUUCUCAUCUUGCGGGGGGAUAUUGGAACCUAGCGCAUACUCACACAAAACAUAAAGAAGCUAAGGAUGCAGACAAUUCUUCAUUGCUUGCGGAGCAAGUAACCCCUGCAGCCGACUCCCCUACACCAAAAGACUAACGAAGACUAGCCAAGUUAUCAUAACACAUUGUAAAUUGUGGAUAUAAUAAAGUUAGUUAUAUACUGUUAAAGUUAGUUAGAAUAUGUGUAUAUAUAUGUAUUCAUGUAUACUGCAAAAGAGACAAAUAAUAAGAGAAGAAAUACUGCAUAUUGAUUGCAGACUUUCCAAACGUAUCUUCCUUCUUCUUCUCUCAUAAGAAAUUUUAUUCUCUUCUUCUUUCUCUACUUCUACAGGAAAGAAUAAAUUCUGCUAUAACAAAAUUAUUAUGGUAUCAGAGCAAGAUUUCUUCUAAAUCUCUGAAAAUAUAUACUCUUCUUUAUUUUUUUUCAGAAAGAUUCAAGAUCUUUGUAGUUGGAUAUUUUUCUGUCAUCAACUUCUUGAUUCCUUCAAAACUUCAAAAUGUCUGAUCAUCUUGAAGAAAGUGCUUCUACAGCACAUAAAGAUUCAUCCAAUAUCACUACUCUGAAUCUUUCUGAUGAUUCUUCCAGCUGCUACUACCUCCAUCCUUCUGAUAAUCCUGGCGCACUUCUAGUUUCUGAAAUCUUCACUGGCGAAAAUUAUAUUGCAUGGAGCAGAUCCAUGACAAUUGCCUUAACAGUGAAAAACAAGAUUGCCUUCAUUGAUGGAUCUUUAGUUCAACCAAACACCACCAAUCAAUCACUUUGUGUGGCAUGGCUGAGAUCAAACAAUCUGGUUCUAUAAUGGCCGAUGAAUUCAAUUGCCAAAGAAAUUAGCAACAACCUUCUUUACUUCACAACAACAUUCGAUAUCUGGGAAGAAUUACGAAUGAGAUAUCUUAGAAGUGAUGGACCAAGGGUUUUUAGUUUAGAAAAAUCUUUGAGUUCUAUUUCCUAGAAUUCAAAAUCUAUCACUGAAUAUUUCAGUGAAUUCAAGGCACUAUGGGAUGAAUACAUCAGUUAUCGCCCAAUCCCAAGCUGCAAAUGUGGAAAUCUUGAUUCCUGCUCAUGCAACAUUUUUAAACAUCUAACAGAUCGACAACAAUCCGACUUUGUUAUGAAAUUUUUGGUUGGCCUUCAUGAUUCUUACUUAGCAGUUAGAAGCCAACUAUUGCUCCAAACUCCUUUGCUAUCUAUGGGCAGAGUCUUUUCCCUACUUCUUCAAAAAUAGAGUCAGAGAUCCCUAACAAAUGCAGCAGGCAUUCCAAUUGAUUGCCAAGCAAUGAUUGCUGAACACUACCACAAUCAAAAUUCCAAAUCAGGUUCAACAUAUACUACACGCUUUGCUAAACAAAAAGGAAAAACUGAGGCAACCUGCUCCCACUGUGGAUAUCCUGGACAUACUAUUGAUAAAUGUUUCUAACUUAUUGGAUACCCUCUUGGGUGGAAAGGAUCAAGAGGAAAAAGAUUUGCUACUAUGCCACAGACCAGCAAAAACUUUCAACGAUUACCCACUGCACAUCAUACUACUAUCUUGCAACCACAUCUUGACACCCCUAACAUUGUUUUCUCUCAAGAACAGAUGCAAAAUCUACUCACUCUAGCAAAUAGCAUUUCCAGCUCAAAGAUAAAUAACACUACUAAAGAAGUAUCUACAUCAGGUAUAUCUUUUUCAUGUCAUACAUCAUCUUCACCUCAAAAUAGAUUUUCAUGGAUUCUUGAUACUGGAGCCACAUAUCACAUGAUUUGUAGUCCUCUUCUUUUUUAAUCCAUCAUUCUCCCUAAAACUCAGUCUAAAACUCAGUCUAAAGUUCAUCUGCCAAAUGGUCAACAUGUACCAAUUCUCUUCACUGGAACGGUUAAAUUUUCUCCUGACAUCAUUUUAUACAAUGCACUUUAUGUUCCAGCUUUUAAUAUCAAUCUAAUUUCUGUUUCUAAAUUAACUGCCGCUAACACUGUUGGCUUAUUUUUUCUUCACACAAAAUGUAUUCUGCAGGAUCUAAGCAAAUGGAAGAUGAUUGGUCUUGCUGAAGCUGAAUCUGGUCUCUACAAUCUUCACAAACCCCCUGAUCAAAAUACUAAAGAAUCACCUCCUAGAUCAAACAUCAAAUCCUGUGUUGUUGCGACAAAUCUCUAGCAUUUACGUUUAGGCCACAUCCCUCCCUCCAAAAUCACCCUUUUGAACAAAACUGAUCCUUCAGUCACUAUCAGCAACAAUACCAUUUGUGAUAUUUGCCCCCUAGCUAAACAAAAACGGUUGCCCUUUUCUUUAUCUAUUCAUAAAUCUACAACAGCUUUUCAAUUAGUUCACAUUGACAUUUGGGGACCAUUCUCUGUUACCUUUUAUUCUGGUUAUCAAUUUUUUCUUACUAUUGUAGAUGAUUACAGUAGAUUUACUUGGUUAUUUUUAAUGAAAUCUAAAUCUGAAACAAGACAUCUUCUCAGCAAUUUUCUAGCCUAUGUUCAUACUCAAUUUAACACCAACAUUCAAACUCUCAGAUCCGACAAUGGCCAAGAAUUUAAUAUGCCUACUUUCUACCAAACGCAUGGCAUCAUACAUCAAUUAACAUGUGUUGAAACACCUUAACAGAAUGGAAGGGUUGAAAGAAAACAUCAACACCUGCUCAAUUUAGCUCGAUCUCUUCUGUUUCAAUCCCAACUACCUUUAUCUUAUUGGACAAAUUGCAUACUCACAGCCACACACCUCAUUAAUCGUACCCCCUCCCUCAUUCUCCAAAAUCAGACACCUUACCAAGUUCUUUAUCACAAACCACCAUAUUACAAUUACUUAAGAGUAUUCGGCUGUUUAUGUUUUGCUAGCACAAUCACACAUAAUAGAGGUAAAUUUCAUCCCAGAGCCACGAAAUGUAUUUUUCUUGGAUACCCUCCACACAUUAAAGGAUACAAAGUUCUUGACUUAACCAUUUGCAAAACCUUUGUAUCUCGAAAUGUUGUUUUUCAUGAAUCCACCUUUCCAUCUAUUCCAAACAAAGUUCAUACACCCCUUGUGUUCCCUGACUAUCCUCAAAAUUUUGACCCUUUUCCUUGUCUCCCAUCAAACACAACUCUACAUGAUUCUGUUGUUCCUGCAAAACUUCCUAUACAACCUCCUGUUCCUCACAUUUCUCCCCUACCUCCUCCUCCUCUUCCCCAACUUAGAAAAUCUGAAAGAAAUAAACAUCCACCUACUUACUUAACACAGUAUUAUUGUGGACAUAUGGCUCAGAUUGCUUCAGCAACUCCAGACUCUCCACCUUGCUCCCUGCCUGGUAAGCCCUACUCUAUCUUUUCUUUCUUGUCUACCUCCCAAUUAUCUUUACCCCACUGUGCUUUCACUUCUUCUGUUUCAUCUGUUUAUGAACCGAAAACUUACAAACAAGCUAGCUCUAUCCCUCAUUGGCAACAUGCUAUGACCAAUGAAAUCAAAGCUCUUGAGAAAAACAAAACUUGGGACUUAGUCAUUCUGCCACCAAAUAAAACUGUCAUUGGAUGUAAAUGGGUCUACAAAGUUAAAUUUCAGGCUGAUGGACAGGUUGAAAGAUAUAAAGCACGAUUGGUAGCAAAAGAAUACACACAACAAGAGGGAAUUGAUUUUUUUGACACUUUCUCUCCUGUUGCAAAAAUCACAACAGUACGAGUUCUUCUCACCAUUGUUGCAGCCAACAAUUGGCAUUUACAUCAACUUGAUGUAGACAAUGCCUUCCUACAUGGUGACUUAUAUGAGGAAGUAUAUAUGCAAUUACCACCUGGCUACUCCAAUCACAAUGACCCUCGAAUCUGCAAGCUCAAAAAGAGCAUCUAUGGUCUUAAACAGGCUUCUAGACAAUGGUUUUCCAAACUCUCUGCAUCUCUACUUCACUUUGGUUUUCUACAAGCCAAAUCAGAUUCUAGCCAUUUCAUCAAGCAAUCUCACACAGCCCUCAUUGACAUUUUAAUCUAUGUUGAUGAUGUUCUCAUCGCCUCCAAUGAUCUUACAGCACUGACUAUAGUAAAAAACUACCUUCGCACAAUUUUCCCUAUCAAAGAUUUGGGAAACCUUAAAUACUUUCUCGGUAUUGAGGCAGCUCGAUCUACCAAAGGCAUUGUUCUUUUCCAAAGAAAAUAUGCCUUGGACAUACUUACAGACAGUGGUUUUUCUGGCGCUAAACUUGUCAAUUUUCCAAUGGAAUCCACACUCAAACUCAGCACACAUGAUACUAGCCCUCCCUUGACUAAUCCUGCAUCUUAUCGUAGACUUAUUAGCAAGCUUCUCUAUCUUACACUCACAAGACCAGACUUAUCCUAUGCCAUCCAAACUCUCAGCCAAUUCAUGUCAAACCCUCACACCCUAUAUAUGCAAGCAGCAGAGAGAGUUCUUCGGUAUCUCAAAGCCACACCAGGAAAAGGCUUACUUCUCAAAGCUGCUUCUCCUCUUCAUUUAAAAGCUUAUUCUAACAGUGAUUGGGGAGGUUGCAUUGACACUCGUCGACGUGUUACUGGCUACCUAGUCUUUCUUGGAGAUUCAUUAAUAUCCUGGAAAUCAAAGAAACAACCUACUGUAAGUAGGUCCUCUGCAGAAGCUGAAUAUCGGGCAUUGGCAACUACUUCAUGUGAACUACAAUGGCUUACUUAUUUACUAGCCGAUUUCCACAUCCCUCACUCUCAACCUGCCUUACUCUACACUAACAGCAAACCAGCCUCCGAAAUAGCUUACAACCCUGUUCAUCAUGAACGCACCAAACAUAUCCAACUUGACUGUCAUCUUGUACGUGAAAAAAUGCAAGAAGGACUCCUUACCAUCAUUCACAUUCCUUCCAAAUUUCAAUUAGUUGAUGCCCUCACUAAACCACUUGGUUAUCACAUGCUUAAUCCUCUCCUUGACAAGAUGGGAAUGAUAAAUAUCCAUUCUCAUCUUGCGGGGGGAUAUUGGAACCUAGCGCAUACUCACACAAAACAUAAAGAAGCUAAGGAUGCAAACAAUUCUUCACUGCUUGCGGAGCAAGCAACCCCUGCAGCCUACUCCCCUACACCAGAAGACUAACGAAGACUAGCCAAGUUAUCAUAACACAUUGUAAAUUGUGGAUAUAAUAAAGUUAGUUAUAUACUGUUAAACUUAGUUAAACGUUUGUUAACGUUUUAUUAACAGAAGCUAGUUAGAAUAUGUGUGUAUAUAUGUAUUCAUGUAUACUGCAAAAGAGACAAAUAAUAAGAGAAGAAAUACUGCAUAUUGAUUGCAGACUUUCCAAACGUAUCUUCCUUCUUCUUCUCUCAUAAGAAAUUUUAUUCUCUUCUUCUUUCUCUGCUUCUAUAGGAAAGAAUAAAUUCUGCUAUAACAAAAUUAUCAUAAUUAGAGAAAAACAAUUUACUAUAUUUCAUAUGUCACAAAUAUUUUUCAUAAAAUAAAUACAACUUAACUUUGAUAAAUGAUACCUCUAGAAAUGUGGAAUCCAUUUAUAAUUGAAUUAAAAUUAUAUUGAAAUGCUUCUUAUCAGAACAGAAAAAAAAAACAUAUUGAAAUGGGCCUACCAAAUACAGCAUUAAAUAUUUUAAUUACCAUAAAAUUGACAACUAGCAAUGAAAUUAACAACAAAAAAUAUUUUCAUUGGUAAUAUCCGAUGAAAAUAGCAAUGAAACAUAUCCAUUAAAUAUUAAAAAAUUAAAUAGCAAUGGAAUAUGUGCAAUCAAUAAUUAUCAAUGAAAUUGGCAAUGAAAUAAAAAUAAUUAGAAAAAAUAAAUAAAUAUUAUGUCAGCAAUUCCAUCGAUAAUAUGACACAUCAUUAUUUACAAAAUGUUUCAUUGGUAUUCACCGAUGAAAAUAUUUCAUCAGUAGUUUUCAUUGGAAGUUUUGUCGAUAAAUUUACAAGUGUUACAACCAACAACAACCCGCCCUAUCCAUUUCUUCUUCUUAUUUAAUAUCAGAAAAUAGGUACCCUCCUUGUUAUGUCACAAAUCUAGGCCUUGUAUUUAUAAAUUUGACCACCCCAACAUUCAAUAGUGUCAGUAUUAUUAUCUCGGUUCAAUUUUUUCUAAAUACUCACUACACCAAGUAAGCAAACCUACAUAUUUAUGUUUUAGGUUAAUUUAUUGAUAUUUUUGUAAUAUUUUGUAAUUUAAUUGUAUAUUUAAGUGUUUUACAUCUGUUUUUCCUUAAGAAUUUUGUUGUAUUAAAGAAUGAUUUGUAUGUUAGGAUUUGUUUGGGAUUUGAAGAAAAUUGAAUUUGUUUUUCAUUUGAUGAAUUUAAGUUUGAUUUUGUAAUUUAUGUUUGUUAUAUCAGAAGAAAUGAUAAGUUAUUUAAUAGAUAUAAUUAUAUUUUGUCGAUUUUAUUAAGUUUGGAAAUUUUACUAGGUGUGUUAUGCAACCCAAGAUUAAAGACGCGUUGUAGUGUUUUGAUCAUAAACAUUUCAUAAUCCAACAUAAAACAACCAUCACUUGUCAUUUAGGAGUUAGAUUCAAGAACAAAUUAUUGUUGCAAAGGCUAAACUUGAGGUAGAGUAUGAAGAAUGAAGUAGAAAGCAAUGAAAGUAAAUGAUAAUAUACAUGUAGACUUAUUAUUCUCCCACUGGAAAUAUUCAUCCCCCUCCACCUCUACCUUCAUAUGCAGCUCCAACUUUAGUUAGUUAGGAGUUUAUCUAAUAUAUUAAGAUAUUUAUAAUUGAUUUUAUAAUUAAAUUAAUGAAAUAAAAUGUGUUCUUUAAUUUAAUAUAAUUAAAUAUUAAUUUGUUUAAUCUAAAUAAACAUUUAUUAAAAAAAAUAAACAACAAACAUAGAAAUUAAGUUGAUGAUUUUGUCAAUUACAUCAGUCUAUUUGUAUCUAAAAAUUACAUAAAAAUUGUUUAAUUUUUUGGCAUCAUUGAUACAAUCACUGCCAUAAUUUUUAUGUUCACGAUCCGUCAUCGAUACAUGAUCAAUUACCGACUGGUAUUCUGUCGUUUAUCGUUUAUGCCUUGGAACUGUACCUGUGUGUAGGUAUGGACAAUUGCUUUUUAGGCAAGAAACUGCGUUGUGGGAUAGGAGAAGAAGGGGCAGAAACAAGCAAAGAUCAUUCUCUCAUCCUAUUCUUCAUGAAGAGCUCUCACUCUUGAGAUUACAUCAGACCAACAAAAGUUGUUUUUACUCAUCCUAAUAAGAUCAUCACAGAGAAGAUUGGCAAGGAACUUCUAAGUACUGGUGUUGUUUUGAUUUCCUUUUCUUUGGUGGUCUUUGCAUCAUCUGACUUGAUGGUCAUGAUGACACGCCAAGCUUCUCCACCAGAUGUCACUGAAGGUAUUAAGAUCUGCACCUUUUAGCUACGAUCAACUCGCGGUGGCCACGAUGAUUCAAGGAAGAGAUCGGUAAAGGGGCAUCAGGAGGCUCUGUAGAGGCUCGUUAGCAAAGAAUGACGGGAAAGAAAUAGCAGUGGAGAGUCUAGAGAAGGUGGUGGAAGAUGGAGAAGGGGAGUUCCGAAACGGGGUGAAGAUAAUGGAGAGGACUACAAUAACUUGGUACGUUUGAUUGGCUUUUGCAGUGAAGGAUCAAAUAGGCUUCUUGUGCAUGAGUUCAAGAUCAUUCAUUGUAACAUAUUUUCUUCUCUAGAGUUUAUAAUAAAUAAAUUAUUUGUAAGAAAACGAAGUUCAGUUGCAUUGUUGAUGGUGUUCCAAAAUUUACUAUGUUUAGAAAUGAGAAUUUUAAGUGUUUAAAUGAAUGAUGAUUAUACAUUCACUUCUAUAUUUUCUUGUUCACAAUUCAUAAAAUUGAUUGUUGGUGAUAAAAGACUUGACACUUAUAAAAUAGUUUUUUUUUUGUGGGGCUUAGGGGGCAUCUGAAUGAUAAAGUUAAUGACUUUUUAUAUGAGAUUAUAAUAAAUUAAGAAAAUAAGCUUUAAAUAAAAAAAUAAAUAAAAAUGUUUGUUCUUAUUUAUGUAUGAUAAAACACCUUGAAAAUAAGAAUAUAAACACUUUAAAGAAUAGAAAAAGUGUGAACCUUUUACUUGAAUGGUUCAGAGAAAUUUAUAAUGCCUGAACUUUGUUGUUUUUUUUAAGGGGUGGAUAGUCACUUCCUUUUGAAAAUGUAAAUGAGAAAAAACAUCUUACACAACAUUAAUUUUAAUGGAAAUAACCCUUACAUUAAUAUUGAUUGGAAUACGUAGGACUUGUAAGAGAUUUUUAUAUAUUAUUUUGUAUGUAACAUUAAUGUUGAUGGGAAUUGUCUUUAAUCAACAUUAAUUUUGAUUAGAAUAUGACAGGUUUUUGAAAGAUUUUUAUACACCUAAGAAUAUGACUAUCAUAGACUCUUAAUAUUUUAUGUUAAGAAUUAUAAAAUAGCUUUAUGACUCAAUAUAGGGCUUAUAAAAACUUUUAACCCCAUAUGUAUUUGCACCUAGAUUGAUUUUAAACUCAAGGGUUUUGAGUCAAAUAUUUUGUCAGACCCAUAGGAACUUGAGCUUUAGCGUCAGACCUAUAUUCACUCAGGCUUAACGCGUAGCUGAGUCCAAUGGUAUUUGGUCUGGAAUCUCGUCAAACUCACAUGUACUUGAGCUCAACACAUAAUUAAACUCAAGGGUGUUGGGUCAAGAAGCAAGCCAGACUCACAUCAUCUAGGUUAACACCUUGCUUUUGACCUUUUUUAUGAUUGGCUUCUUAAGCAAACAAAUUGUGUAUAAAAUAUACUAAUCUAGUAGUGGCCCCGUAAGGGUAUUUCUUCCAUCUUGCUUUUGAGUUAAGGUAUUCCAUCCAUUUUCAAGGAUUUAUGAGAGACAUCUUUAGGUAUUAUAAAUUGGGUUUAAGCCAAUUGCACCCCAAAUGAUGGGUGAUUUUAGGGGCGAGUAAAAAAAUUAAAAAACCAAUUAAACCAAGAAAACAAAAAAAAUAACAAAAAAAACUGAACGGUGAAAAAAACCAAAUUAAACUGAUUAGAAUGUUUAAAAAAAUUGACCGGUUUAGUUUUGGUUUCAUAAGCCUAUAUAUAUAUAAAUUGUGUCCAGCUUGCUAUGUGUGGAGUCAGUUGCACAACUCUUGGGUCCUAUGUCAAGAAUUGUGACUUAGGGCGUUUCUUUCUUUGCCAAAAGCUUCUGGCAGCCAAACCCAUAACACUUCCAAAACAUACCAAUAACCUUGGGUCUUGCUACCCAACAUGGCCUAAUAGUGUUGUGAAAGGCAUAGCCAAACCCAAAACACUUCAAAAAAGAACUGGGUUUGGUUGACCAGCCAAACCCAACAAUCUUAGGUCUGGCUCGGCAGCUAAACCCAACACCUUUUUGAAGUGUUUUGGGUAUAGCUCCACACUAUUGGGUCCUGUAGUAGGACCCAAUGCUAUUGGCACCUUCUUGGGUCUAAUUGGGUAGCCUGACCCAAUAUCUUUAGGUCCGGCUGUACAACCAUACCCAAAAUAGUUUUGGGUUCGACUGUUUAACAGGACACAAUAGGUUUGGGGACCAAAUAACACUAGGUCCAAACCAAAUUUUCUUGAGUCCAGUGUCCGGACGGUGUUGCACCUGAUACUAAUGGGUUCUGCGUCGCGACCCAAUUCUCUAGUGUCCAUGUUAGGACCCAUGGUUCAAGUAUCCGGCUUUAGGACCCGAUUGUAUUUUGUCCGCGUCAGGAGCCAAGUGUAAUGGGUCCUACUUUUGGACCUAAUUAUAUUGGUAUCGCAUGUGUGCGGUGUCGCGGCGAACUGGUUUCACUUUAAAUCUAAAAGUAAAUCUAUCAAGCAAAUAUGGGGAGACAAGAAAUUUUUGUCGCUUAUCGGUGGAAAAUGGAAUGUGAGUCGCCACCUAGUAUUUUGAUCACUAGGAACCCUAACUGGUCUCAGAGAUCGGGUACGGGACUGAUUGCGUAAAUGGAAGGUAUUAGUACCCCAAAUACGCUUUACCCAAGGUAAGCUGCAUUGUUUGAUUGUCUGAUAAAAGCUAAGGUGUUAUUGUAUUUCUAGUUGUUGGUCUGUCUAUGGUUCAAGAAAAAUCCUCCUCAAUAAAGAGGUCCUUAUCUUAUCGGGUAAAAACUUAAAUGUUCUAACGUCUAUAUGAAAACUAUAUUUUUAAUAUCAGGAAUGCGUUUUACGUAUAAAUUCGUAAUCCUAGAUACUAAAAGAAGACAAAAGGAUUUUUUUUGAAUUUUUGAAAUAUUGGCCUAGUUCUCAUGACUCUAACAAACUUGUUGUUAAAGCCAAAGUGCAUGCUAAUACAUAUAUAUUUUUUUGAAAUUUUUCCCUGUUGUAUGCAAAUAUAAUGUGAUGAUUUUUUAUAUAUAUUUUGGAGAGACUAGGCCGUAUGCAUGAAAACAAAACACUUUUUUAUUUUAUUAUAUAUUUUUUAUGCCUUGAUGAAAACCGGGUAUUUUAAUACUAGAUUUUUAUCUUUACGGUAUAAAAAUACAAACCAAUAUUAAGCAAUAAAAAUAUGCAGGAAAAUCAACAAUUUUUUUAAGGAUUUUUCAGAAUUUUGAAUAUAAAACAUUUUAUAUUUUAUAUUUUUUGAUGUAUUGAUGAAAACCAUGUAUUUUAAUACUAGAUUUGUAUCUUUACAGUAUAAAAAUAAAAACCAAUAUUGAUCAAAAUGCAGUAACAAUAUUGCGGAAAAUCACAAAUUUUUUGAAAUAAUUUUUGAAGAAUUUUGUUUUUUUUAUGGGUCGGGUCCAAUUCGGCCCAUGUGGCUGGGGCGGAACCAAUAGGCCUAACUAGGCUGGACCCGGCCCAAAAGAAGACCGGGCUGAAAUCAGCCUAAAAUAAAAUGGGCCUACCUUCUAUAGGGUUGGACUCAGCCCAGCCGUAGGGCUGGGCUUAUGUUCCAGCCCGAAACAAAUGUGGAGCACAGUCCAGUUAAUUAAUUAGCACAGUAACCAGCUAAUUAUUUUUCUUGCAAGAAGAUGAACAGUAAGAGGGUUGAGGGGAAGAGUUACCAAGGGUGAUGAGCUUGGACGGAGGAGCUCUUCCUCUUCUCUGCUGUUUUUGACGUUGCUUCUUCUCUUGGUUUCCUUUGUUCCCUCUGUUAACGAUAUUCUUCCUUCUCUGCAGCGGCUUCGUGGAGGUGCUGGUGGUGGCGACCUGGGGAGGGGCUGAGAAGGUGGUUUGGCGAUGUUGUUGCUGCAGUUUUUUUUUCCUUCGUAGAGGCGCAGGUUCCUGUUUUUUCUUCAAUGGUGUUGUAGCGUGUGGGAGGAAGAUGAUGAGCUGAGGAAGGAUGACGAUGGCGUGGGCAGUGCUGUUGUGUUUGUGUUCCUGGUGGCGUUGUUGUCGGGGUAUCCGGCUGUGGUCGCUCUUCCUCCUCUCUUCUGUCGUUACUUCUCUCUGUUUAUGUCACCUUGUUUCUCUGCUUCUUCUUCGCUAGCUCUAAAAGGAAGGCAGGCGGUUGUAGUGUGGUUUCAAACGGUGGAGAGAGAGAGAGAGCAGAGAGAGAGGUUACCGUUCUUCUCUUCCCCUCUAUUUUCCUUCUUUCUCUUCUGCCAUGUUUCUCACCUCUCUAUCGUCUUUCGUUAAAAAAAAAACUCUCCCCCUUUCUCUCUUGUUUUUUUUUCCGUCUCUUGUUCAAAAAACAAAAUUGACCCUUCUGUCUCACAAAAAACCUCCCUCCUCUGUUUUGGUUUCUCUCUUCUCUACACUCUCACAGUACCUCUUCUCGUUUCAAACUUCCCUAUCCUUUCAGUUUCCAAAAGCCCUGCCCCUCAUUCUGGUGUUGGGCGCAAUAUUUAUAGAGCAAAGAAAAAGCGUCUUGCUGUCGCGCAUGGGAAGCAGGAGACACCGGGUGAGGUCUCCAACAGGCGUGGCUUUGCAGGGCACGUCUACACUGUUUUCUAGCCAUGGAAUUUUAGGUUUAUGCAGCAGCAUGCAGGGAGAGAGAAGUUUCUCAAAAUGACACUAUUUUUUUUUUUUUGAUAGGGUAUUGAAAAAUGAGUUACAACAAUUGGGAUAUAUGUCAGGAUUCAAUUCUCUUGGGUCCUACAUAGUUUAAGAUUAAUGAAUUUUAGAUUUUUAAAUAUUAUUAUUUAUGUUAUAAAUAUUAUUAUUUUUAUUAUAAUUAAAAAUAUUAAUAUAAAAAUAUUGUUUUUUGUGCUAUAAAUAUUAUUAUUUUUAUUAUAAUUAAUUUUAUUAAUAAAAUAAUUAAUAAAUUUUAAAAAAAAUUAUUAUUAAUAUUGAAAAUCAACCAUAGAUUUGAUUUGAAAUGUAAAAUUGAAAAUUUUUAUUGUUAUCAUUAAUAAAAAAAAAUUAAAAAAAUUAUUAUUACUAUUGAAGAAAACCCAUAAUUUUUCAAAAAGAUUAACAAAUAUAAGAAUUUAGACAGACAAGUUAAAUAUUAUUACUUAUAUUAUAAAUAUUAUUGUUGGGUUUGUCAUUACAGUCAGACUCGACUCCUUUAAUUUUUCUGUUUCAACCAGACCCAAAGCUUUUGAGCCAUAUAUUUUUUUCAUAUUUUUUAUUAAAAUAAAACGUUGGCUGCAAUAUAGUGCAGGCCACCUAACUAAUAAUGGACUCCAAAUAAAUUAAUUCUGCUUCAAGGAAAACAAACAUAUUAAAAUCAUAAAAACAUUUUACUAUAAAAUAUUAUACAGAAUAAACGUAACUUACUCUAAAUUUCCUCAAACAAUCUUGCAUUGCAAGAUUAAAUGGGCAGUAACAACGCCAGGAAAGCUUUCUUGUGGAUUUAAACACAUUUUUCUAUUCCUCUUAAUUAUGGGAGGGGGGAGCUAUCUUCUGCUGUGUAGGAAGAUCUGAUGAAACAAAGGAACAAUUGUUUUCAUUUUACCAAAAACAUAUUUAGUGGAAGACAACCCUGCCAUCACUGGUGAAGAGCAAGGUCGCAUUACUGGGGACUGGGGCGUCAUCCCUUCUAGCAGCCCACACAACAGUCUUUAGUGAAAUCCCGGAUAGAAAAACCCCAAUAGAAUAGCCGUCGCGUUGUCGGAAAAAUCCGAAAGCAUGAAGACCAGAAGGUGACAACCAUAAGGAGUUUGGGUUAGGUGUUAGAGAAGAUCCGAGGGUUAUAUUGGUCUGUCUUUGAGCUGAAGCUGUAAAAGAUAAGGCGAGAAGAAGAAAAAAGAUGAUAGAAGCCAUGGAUAGGGAUUUAGCUCUUGUGUGGUAUGUGAGUGUCAAAAUAAGGAUGUCUAUUGUUCCAGCACUCCAUUAUCUUUCUGUGGUUUCCAGCAGUCAAGCCAGGCACUCAAAACAUAAAAGUCUAGCCAUAGAAUCCACCGCGUUUCCCUACCAAUUGGUGGAAAUUGUUGCUCUUACUUUUAUGCUUUCAAAGUCAAUGCAGUCAACUCACCGAAAAAACUUGGCAAUUACUUGGCGCUGGUCCCCCUUUUCGAUCUUGGUAUCCCCCAUUUGAUCAGCCAUUUGCUAAUUUCCCCUGGACUGUUCUUGGUUCUAAUUUUCUGCAGCAGAUUCUUUUUUAUUUGUCAAGUACCAUCAAUAUGCUUUUGAUAACACAAUCUUGAGCUUCCUGCAGACAGCUUCAACUACUUGAGAGAUGCCAAUUGUGGUGCUAAUGCUAAUACCCCGCCAUAAUACUAGGGCAAGGCAGAACAAAUGGAUUAUAUUCAUGUCCUUCGAUGCAAAAGGCUAGAUAGCAACGUCACUUUCUAACAAAAGAUCAUGUUAUAAUUAACCCUUAUGGACAACUUAAUUAGUUUAUGGACAACUUAAUUAGUCCUUUCUUGAGUUUUUUUUUCAAUAAUCAUGAGUUUGAGUUCUUUCAGAAUCAUUAAAAGUUUACAUGAUCAUUAAAUUAAGAAUAUGUGGGAUUAGUCGAGAUGAGCACAAGUUAAUCCGGACAUCAACGUUAACAAUAAAAAAAAAAAAUCAUGUUAUAAUUUAUAUGUGAAAAGUAGGGAUUUUGAAUUCGGGUAAUCUCAACAAGGUUGUACUUUUCUUUCUCCAGGUCAACUUGGAUCUUCCUCUGUUCUCAUGUUUAGCUUCCUGCAAGAACAUUCCUUCCGAGGCACAUUUUUCCUGAAAUUAUACUAUAUAUGGGAACUUUCAAGUUUUGUUUGAAAUAAAACUUUUAUUUGCUUCCUCACGAUUUCAUUUUAGUCUCGAAUUUAAGAUAUUUUUUCGUAAAUACACUAGUUUGGAUAUGAAUGGCCAGCGUGAAACUUCAUAGAAGAUGGACCGUUGAUUCUAUGGUUUUUUCCACACGUAUUUUGCAGGAACAGCAAGUGGACGUAUGAGUAAAGUAAUGUAUCUCUUGUCCUUGGCUGUAACCGGUCUUUCUUUAUCUUGUAAUAACAAGGUGAGUUCGAUUGAGGGUUCCGCUGUAUGACUAUAUUCAGAGUAUAAUUAAGGUGGUCACAACAGGGACUGAGUCAAUGUACAACCGAGCAUUUGCUGGCAGGCUCUUCUCAGCAAAAAUGUCUUCUCUUACUAGCUUCAAAGCCAGUGGUGUAUCCUCAAUACAAGUUGUUGCAACUCUGAAGAACAUAUUGCUAGUAUUUGUUGAGACUUGAGAAUAACAUUACCCAUCUAGAAACCUGGCCAAAAUAUAGGUUUCAGUUUUCCAGCCAUAAUCCCGACACAUGAGAUAAGGUGGGAAACAACUUUACAGGCAUUAACAUUAGAAGAAAAAUCAACAGGAAGCUAUGCUGCGUAAACAUAAAGGAACUCAGUACGAAAUAGCAAUUUUAUAAAGAAAAGGAAUACAUGACCUGAAAAAUAAAAUACCACACCCUGCAGAUGAAUCUCUUAUUCCGAACCACAAAACGCAGCUCAUAUAGCAGUAAAAAAAGAAGUAGGACUUGGAGGGAUUGGGAUUUCGACUGUCCCCUCCAACAUGAGGAGUACCUUUUUCAUUGAAGGGCGGAGGGAUAGCUCAUCAAGAGUGCACCAAAGUCCCACUUUAACCAUCCUAUCUAACUGUUUCUUUUCGACGAUUUCAUCACCCACAAGUUUGUCCAUAUCACCGUCCAGAAAACAUUGGUAAACCCACUGUUCGAGAACAGCUUCAUCCUCUGGAAGACUCCAAUCCACAUUCUUUCGACAACAUGUGAUCUCCAACAACAUAACUCCAAAGCUAUAAACAUCUGCUUUAACUGUCACCGGCAUAUUCCGGUGCCAUUCUGGUGCUACAUAUCCCCUCGUCCCUCUGAUUCCCGUGAAGGUAUUAGUUUGGUCUGACUUCAGAAUUUUUGCCAAUCCAAAGUCAGAAACUUUGGGGCACCUGCUUUCAUCUAUUAGUAUAUUCUGAGGUUUUAUAUCACAGUGGAUGAUCUGAGUCUCGCACUCUUCAUGUAGAUAAACAAUACCCCUUGCAAUGUUGCGAGCAAUUUCCAACCUUUCAUGGAAGCAAGGUCGUUUUUCAAGUGAGAAGAGUAUGUCAGCGAGGGAGCCAUUGCUCAUGUACUCGUAUACCAGGAGCCUGUGAUGUUCAUCAUGGCAAUAGCCGAGCAGACGGGCUAGGUUUCUGUGAUGUGUUUUCCCAAUGACUUUCAUCUCAUUCUGAAAUUCUCUUUCCCCUUCAGCUAGAACUUUCUCCAGUCUCUUGACAGCAACAACCUUCUGAGUACUUGAUAUGAUCCCUUUAUAAACUGUCCCAAAUGAUCCCCUGCCAAUUUCUUCCUUGAAACCACCAGUAAUAUUUUCUAGCUCUGCAUAAGUGAAAGCUCGAGGAGCAAAUAACCAAGUAAUACAAUAAAUAUAGCAUAAUAGUUUAAGGAAGAUUGCAAGUAGAUCUAACGACAACAUUAAUAGUUGCAUAUGUGUGUGUGUGAAGAUUCAAAAAAACCUAAUUUAGAAAAUACAAAAAAAAAAACCAAGUAAUGAUAGAAAAAUAGAAAGAAAAGUAUUAAAUUCUGUUUAGAUUGUUCACCUAACAAUUUAAAUUUAUUUAAAUUCUAUAUAGAUAUUGUAUUGCGAUUGGUCACGUACCGGUUUGGAUCCAUUUAGAUUUUGAUUUGGUUACCUAACAAUUAAAAUCCAUUUCAAUUUUCAUGUAUUAUCUUUUUAUAUAUAUAUAUAUAAAUUUAUUGUACAAAUAUAAUGGAAAAUGAAUUAUAACUGUUGUAAUCCAUUUUUUAUCUCUAAUUUUUCACAUGUAUUUUCAAAAAUAGAACAAAUCUUCCAAAAUAUAUUUUCAAUGAAAUUCAAUUAUUAUUUAUUUAUUAUUAUUUUUGUGUGCGUGACAAUAUAGAAAAAUAAAAAUAAAAUAAAAUUAAGGAAAUGAAAUGAAAGGCAAGAAAAACUUCAGACCGGUAUGAUUGAUGACUAAAUAAUAUAUGGAAAAUCAAGAUGAGAUUGGAAAAUUUUUGCAAAAAAUCAAUAAGAAGAUGAAAUAAAAUUUUAUAAUAGUAGUUUUCCUGUUUUGAGAGUAUCCCACAAACAACAUAUAUAAACAUGAGAGAACACUACACACACAAGUACACAGAGAUAGAGAGAUUAAAAAAGACAAGUAUACUUUUGGGCUCGUUCUUGGAGCUUACAAGCAAGUUCCAUAUAGGAAAAACCUUGGUCAACAAGAAGAAAAAAUGGCAAAAAUUAGAUUGCUCUCUGCAAGCGUAAUUCAAGCCACUGCUAACAAGGUGACAAAUGAGAGGGCUGAGUUGACUCAAUGUGAUCUAAAGCUUCUUCCGCUAGGUGCUUCUCUUCCUCAAACCCAAAUCAUCAGAAGAUCAAGACUUGUUCAUCCAACAGUUGAAAACGUCACUUUCUCGGACUCUAGAUUUCUUCACCCCUCCCGUGUUGGAAGUUAAAACCGGUGUGGUAUGGGAUCAACACAGUAAUACAAGAUAAAAAAAACUCAAGAACAAAGCUAAACAACAAGAAAAAGAAGGAGAGGAAGCUUGUUAGCCACUGUAGAACAUGAUGAUAACACAGUCUCCAAUUUCAUUGACUGCAAAAAUGCAGGAGCCCAGUUUGUUCAUGGCGCCAUGGCCGAUGGGGUAACCAUGGCUGACAUCCUCCGGCCAGUUUAUGUUCCUCCAAUUGUCCACUCUUUCUUUCCAUUGAAAGGGGUCCUAAACCACGGGGCUACUGAUGUCUCCAAGCCAUUGCAUGCCUGCAGUUCAAGUCACUGAACUUGUUGGUGGCAUCUUUAAUGGCUGUACCAUGAACCAUAUAGUUGUUGAUGGCACAUCGUUUUGAAAUUUCUUCAACUCUUGGUCUGAAAUCCAUCGUGGGUUGGAUCACAUCUCCAAGCCUCCUGUUCUUGAACGUUGGUCACCUCCCAAUCGUAGCUGCAGCUGCCUGAUCCAAAAGCAAUAAGCCGUUGCCUGCAUGCUUGUACCUUUUUUUUCUCCAAAAAAAUGGGUGUAUAAGGGGUAGUUUUUCCAGGCGUAAGACACGUCAUCCAUUAGUGUAUUUCCCGGUUAUUUUCAGUCCUAUAAAUGCAAGGUUUGAUUUACUAUAUCCCUAAAGCUUGAUUUUUAAGUAAUAUUCACCUGAAAACAUCCAAACAAAACUCAAUAAAUCUUUUUUGAAUCCAAAAUUAUCCUCUAAUCAUUCUAAAAAUUAAAAAUCAAACCAAAUGAAAAAAACAUUACAAGCCUUAAAGGGUGUUUGAGAGUGUGGUAGCGGUUGCUUUUCAAAUAGCUUUUCGUGCCGAAAAGCAUGCCAAUAAUAUUUUUUUAUUUUUUAAAAAUCAUUUUUGACAUUAGCACAUCAAAACGAUCCAAAAAAUACAAACCGCACUCAAUUUUAGCAAAAAAUAAAAAUAAAUUUUUUUUGAAUUUUUUCAAAAAGCCGAUUUGGCCGCAAUGCCAAACAGGCAAUUAAUCAAUCUAUCUGUCUAUAUAUAUAUAAAACUGAAAUAUAUAUAAAAAUUGAAAAUUGAAGAUUGCACUAUAUAUAACUAAAGAGUGCAAUUUACAUUGAAGAGGGAAAGUUCUUGCUUUUUUUUUUUUAAUUAUUAUUAUUAAUGUUGAUGUUCGGAUUAGCUUACUCGUACCUCAAUUAAUUUAAAAUGUUCUAAAAUUAACGACCAUGUAAACUCUUCUAGUGAUUCUAAGAUUUAUAAAAUUCAAACCGAUGAUUUUUAAAAAACAAGUCUAGAGUCUAAUUAAUUAAACUAUACCUUUUAAAAUUAAGUUAUUAUUCUUUUAUUCAUAUUGAUUAUUGACAUUUAGCGAAGAUUUGUUUUUUAAAAAUUCAUGUUUGCAUGACUCUCUAAAAGACCCUACACAAGUUCGAUUUUUCUUUUCUUUCAAUUAGAUUUUUUUUUUCUGUUUUCACUUUAAUUAAAUAGAGUCAGGUUGAGCAUCAUAUAUAUUGCACGAUACUCAUCUUAAUGAAAAUAGGAUGAGACUUGGCUAUUAUUUUUUCUAUUAACAAGCUUUAAUAACGUAAUUAUAAUGUAUGUGAAUGAUUGAAUUAUAUUUAAUCGAAUUGUCUAAAUGCAAUGAAUAUAGCAUUAAACUGACUAAAUUCUUUUCAUAAGGGUUUAUUUACUUAUUUAACAAUAAUUUUUAAACUUAAUCCCACAAUUAAUUUGAAUAAGUUUUAGAUCACGAGUCUAUUUAUUUUUUAUUUUAUAAAUGAUAAAAAUAAUAUUAUUUAAAAAAAUAAUAAGUUUUAAUUAAGCUUUUUUUAGAUUGACCAGAUUAUUGGUCAAACCAAGUUUUUUAUCUAGUCAUAUUGAGCUAAGUCUUCUUUUAUUUUUAUUGAAAUUGACUUAAUUAGAUAUCAAAUCACAACUCAACCCUUUAGUCUGUUGAAGUUUUAAAUUAAUGGAUUUAACACAAAUACAAGGUUUGAAUGGGGCUUCUCCAAGGAAAACUCGAAUAAGAGAGCUAUGUUUAGAUGGUGUUUGUGUGUGAGUUUUAAUUAAUUAAUUUUAUUAAAAUUUGAAUUUUUUUAAUUAUUAUUUUAGUAUUUUUUGAUUGUUUUAAUAUGGUGAUAUUAAAAAUAAAUUUUAAAAAAGAAAAAAAUAUAUAUUUUUAAUAUUUUUCAAAUACAAAAUAUUUAAAAAAAAUUAUUGAUAGACUGUUAAAUACUCUUUCAAAUAAAAAAUAUUUUUAAAAAAUAUAUUAAAAGCCCCCUUUAAGCUUACCAAAACCUCAGAGCAAAAAACAAGAAAGGAAAAGAGUAAAACAAAAUGGCUCCAGCCAAGAAAGGAAAACCGAAGGCAAACUCGGCCGUGUCAACUCAGUCAAAACCCACAGCCCCAAGUCCCCAAAACAAUUUCCCAUCUUGCAUACGUGCAGUCCCUCCUUCCUCCGUCGCCAUCACCAUCCACGCCAAACCCGGUUCCAAAUCCGCCUCCAUCACUGGUGGGUCUAUACACACGUGCAAAAGGACUGUUUUGAUUCUUGUUUAGGUUAAAAAAUUAAAGCUUCAAUGUGUUUUUUUCUUCCUGAUAUUGUAUGUAGAUUUGAGUGAUGAAGCGGUGGGAGUACAAAUAGAUGCACCUGCUAAAGAUGGUGAAGCUAAUGCUGCACUUCUUGAUUACAUUAGCUCUGUAAGUCUUUUUUUUUUCCCUUACGUUAUAAGUUGGUUAUUCGUUUUUAAUGUUUUGUGAUAGAGAAUUAUUGGCUUAAUUUUCGAGAAUUUUACAGGCAUGUGUGAUGUUAAUCAAUGCCUGUCAAAUUUUUUGAUGUUUCGGUACUACGCAUAUGGAGAGAAAUAUUUUGAGUUGGUACAGUUUUGGCUGAAUUUUCUAGAGGAAAGGAGAUUUGUAGCAUGAGGUCGGGAGACGAAAGUGGCUUUUUUUUUUUUUGGAGAGAAACGGUAGAACGGAUUCUUACGGUUCAUCAAAUUUUACAGGCAUGUGUGAUGUUAAUCAUUGCCUGUCAAUUUUUUUGAUGUUUUGGUACUACGCAUAUGGAGAGAAAUAUUUUGAGUUGGUACAGUUUUGGCUGAAUUUUCUAGAGGAAAGGAGACUUGUAGUAUGAGGGCGGGGGAUGAAAGUGGCCUUUUUUAUAUUUUUUUGGAGAGAAAUGGUAGAACAGAUUCUUACAGUUCAUGAAUUAAUUAGAGAGGGUUUUAUUUUGUCUUUGGGCUUGCAUGCAAAAGGAAUGGUGAAUCUAUAGUCCUUAUAUUUAGCCUAUCAGUAUUUUGAUGAUGGAUUUGCUGGAUUCUAGACAUGCGCAAUGAGUUAGAAAACAGCAUCAAUGUGCUUAAUGUAGAGUAUUUGGAAGCAGUCAAAUAUUGAUGCUUUUUUUGGGAUCAUGGCUCGUGUCCUUGAGAUUAUUUUGAAAGAGGGUUAUGCUGGCACUUUGUUAACUUCUAUUGGGAGUUUUUAUUAUGAUAGUGUAUCUGGCAUUUUCCUAUUUCAUCAAGUUGGUGUAAGUAUUUGAUGCAAGUUGAGGAUUGAGUUAAUUUUGAACGCAUAUGGUAAUAAUAAUUUUUUUACUGACCUUUUGAAACCAUGAAUUGCUAGGAAGAGUUUGAAAUUGAAAGAGGAUGAAAGAGUAAAUGCAUUAAGAGAGAGGAUGCGAUUUCAUGAGUGAUAUAAUCAACUGGGAUCCCUGGCUUAGCCCAAUAGUAGAUGAAAAGCUUCUCUCUUCCAUAGGAUAAGUGUGAUUUAGAGCAUUUAAUCUUCUGAAAAAAUAAUAAUGAGGUGUUUACUGUUCAAUCACAACUGUAAACAUGGUUGAAUAACUGAAGAGAGUUAUUUAUGAAAAUUAACAAAUUCUUGUCGUGAUAUCUUGCAUUUAGAUAGAGAACCUCCUCUGUUUUAGUACAGAAAAGGUUCACAAGUAUGGUUCUCUCAACCAACAGGUGUUGGGGGUGAAGCGGAGGCAGGUAUCCAUAGGCUCUGGUUCUAAAUCGAGAGACAAGGUGGUGAUUGUGGAGGAGGUAACUCUACAAAAUGUUUUUGAUGCUUUGGAGAAAGUGUCCAAAUGCUGCUAAUUUAAAAAGAAGAAGAGAGGUUCAGUGUGCUUUCGUUAACAAGAGAUAUGAUUUACAUGAUCUUAUACUGAACACAAGGUAUUUGGAUAGGACAACAUUCCUAGUCCACGCUGAUGUUUAAAAUAGUUUGGUCUGUAGUUUUGUUUCUUCUAUCUCACACUGAAACAAUAAUCUUUUUAUUUAAAACUGUAAGUACAGAAGCUGUAGUGUUACUUAUGAAUAUAAUGACUGAUGUUCCAUGAAUAUUCAAGUUAGAUGCUAAUUUAUUCAUCUUCACCAUGGUUCUUCUAGUUCUCAUUUUUCUUUAUGAUUUCUUCCCCCUUUUUUCUUAUGAAUUUCACUAAGAGAUCAUUAUAGCUAUACUUUUGCACGACAGGCUUGCUAAUACCUAGCGACAUGCUGUGAAAACCAUCUUAUUUUGUCCUCCAGCUUUUGAUUCUUCUGGCUGUUUUGCCAUUAAUAAUGCUAGAUUUAAGGUUUAGGUCCGCUGUUGUUAUUACCUGAUUUUUGUGUAAUUCGCCUAUAAAUGAAAUUACUCUCUAGUGAUAAAAGGAAUGGAGUGCAGAUAUUGUGUCAUGAACAAAAGGCUAGUAUUUGUUUAUUGCAGGAGCAAGAGAAGUCUCGGCUCAUACUUGGCCAGGAAAACAUUUAUCUUUUUCACACUGUAUAAGCAUUUUGUCAUGAGGGUAAUCUUAUUGAUUAAGAAUCAUCUAUCAGAAGUGGAGUAUCCUCAAUACAAGUUGUUGCAACUCUGAAGAACAUAUUGCUAGUAUUUGUUGAGACUUGAGAAUAGCAUUACCCAUCUAGAAACCUGGCCAAAAUUAUAGGCUUCAGUUUUCCAGCCAUAAUCCCGACACAUGAGAUAAGGUGGGUAACAACUUUACAGGCAUUAACAUUAGAGGAAAAAUCAACAGGAAGCUCCCAAAUGCUGCGUAAACAUAAAGGAACUCAGUACGAAAUAGCAAUUUUAUAAAGAAAAGGAAUACAUGACCUGAAAAAUAAAAUACCACACUCUGCAGAUGAAUCUCUUAUUCCGAACCACAAAACGCAGCUCAUAUAGCAGUAAAAAAAGAAGUAGGACUUGGAGGGAUUGGGAUUUCGACUGUCCCCUCCAACAUGAGGAGGACCUUUUUCAUUGAAGGGCGGAGGGAUGGCUCAUCAAGAGUGCACCAAAGUCCCACUUUAACCAUCCUAUCUAACUGUUUCUUUUCGACGAUUUCAUCACCCACAAGUUUGUCCAUAUCACCGUCCUGAAAACAUUGGUAAACCCAUUGUUCGAGAACAGCUUCAUCCUCUGGAAGACUCGAAUCGACAUUCUUUCGACAACAUGUGAUCUCCAACAACAUAACUCCAAAGCUGUAAACAUCUGCUUUAACUGUCACCGGCAUAUUCCGGUGCCAUUCUGGUGCUACAUAUCCCCUAGUCCCUCUUAUUCCGGUGAAGGUUUUAGUUUGGUCUGACUUCAGCAACUUUGCCAAUCCAAAGUCAGAAACUUUGGGGCACCUGCUUUCAUCUAUUAGUAUAUUCUGAGGUUUUAUAUCACAGUGGAUGAUCUGAGUGUCGCACUCUUCAUGUAGAUAAACAAUACCCCUUGCAAUGUUGCGAGCAAUUUCCAACCUUUCAGGGAAGCAAGGUCGUUUUUCAAGUGAGAAGAGUAUGUCAGCGAGGGAGCCAUUGCUCAUGUACUCGUAUACCAGGAGCCUGUGAUGUUCAUCGUGGCAAUAGCCGAGCAGACGGACUAGGUUUCUGUGAUGUGUUUUCCCAAUGACUUUCAUCUCAUUCUGAAAUUCUCUUUCCCCUUCAGCUAGAACUUUCUCCAGUCUCUUUACAGCAACAACCUUCUGAGUACUUGAUAUGAUCCCUUUAUAAACUGUCCCAAAUGAUCCGCUGCCAAUUUCUUCCUUGAAACCACCAGUAAUAUUUUCUAGCUCUGCAUAAGUGAAAGCUCGAGGAGCAAAUACCUCAUUCAAUGCAGUGCCAUCAUUAUUGGGCACCCUUUUAUAUGCCAAUACAUGAUAUCUGUAAACGAUGAUUCCGAAAAUCGACACCAUAGCAAGCCCAAAAACAACAAAUGAACCACUUAUUAUUCGGAUAGUCCUGCCACUGCCAAGGUUCUUCUCGGUUAUAGGCUCUUUUCUGUCCAUGGGUCUACCCACCUUGACGACAGCCAAGUUCGAACUGUCCAAGUUUCUCCUCCCAUAUCUCAAAGGAAACCUUUGCUUUCUGCAGUACUGCCCAUCAGUGAAUAAUGCUGCUUCACAGUUACAGUCUUCCAAACAGGCUUGCUUACAAUUGUCUUUCGUUGUUGAUGACAAAACGGAGUAUGAAACAUCUUCCCAGACAAUAUUAGACAGCUCUUCCAUGGUGUAUGUGCUACUUCCAUUCUUGUCCCUUGCAACUUACAGCAUCGAAAUCCCUCUCACAGCCAGAAGUCCAAUUUCCCUGGGUAACAAACUUAAAUCCAGGAAGACAAAUACAUUCAGCUUCCUGAUCCUUCAUAACACAAUAUCCAUUAAGACCACAUGAUCCUUUCGGGUCGCACUUGUUGCUUGUGGAUGACCACACAUCUGACCAGUUUCCAUUCCGUAUCAGAUUUCGUGAAUAUAAUCUGAAAAUCCCAUCAGCAUCAAGUUUCAUAAUAUUAAUUGUUUCUUUCGUGGGAUAUCCUCCAGCUGUAAUGUUUUUUAUGUUGAAUCCUGUGGAAUUGAGCAGGUAGAGACGGCCAUCCGGAUCAAGAUUUAGGGUCACAUCAUCUCCCUUCCCAUCAGUAAAAGAUGAAAAAUAAGAAUAUGGAGCUGUAUCUGGAGUAUUAACAGGAUACUGCACAAGGUUGCCAUCAUUUUGCAUCUUGAGUCGGUAAAUACCAGUUGAGAGGUCAGUUUCUGAAACAGGAGAAAACAGCUCUGCACCCGCUUUGAGCUGUUGAGUUGGCAAAAGGGUAUCUGUUGGGUGCUCAAAACUCUGCCAUAUAAUCUGGCGAUCAGAAUUAUAUAGCACAAAGUUGCCUGAAUCAGACAUAGAAGCUAAAGAAGCUGGCUGGGAAGCAGAAACUAUCGCAGUCUCACCCCCUUGUGCUGAUGUCAAGACAACCCUGCCAUCACUGGUGAAGUUCAAGGUCGCAUUACUGGGGACUGGGGCAUCAUCCCUUCUAGCAGCCCACACAACAUUCUGUAGUGAAAUCCCGGAUAGAAAAACCCCUAUAGAAUAGCCAUCGCGUUGUCGGAAAAAUCCGAAAGAAUAAAGACCGGAAGGUGACAACCAUGAGGAGUUUGUGAUAGGUGUUAGAGAAGAUCCCAGGGUUAUAUUGGUCUGUCUUUGAGCUGAAGCUGUAAAAGAUAAGGCGAGAAGAAGAAAAAAGAUGAUAGAAGCCAUGGAUAGGGAUUUAGCUCUUGUGUGGUAUGGAGUGUCAAUUUAAGGAUGUCUAUUGUUCCAGCACUCCAGUCUCUUUCUUUGGUUUCCAGCAGUCAAGCCAGGCACUCAAACAUAAAAGUCUAGCCAUAGAAUCCACCGCGUUUCCCUACCAAUUGGUGGAAAUUGUUGCUCUUACUUUUAUGCUUUCAAAGUCAAUGCAGUCAAGUCACCGAAAAAUCUUGGCAAUUACUUGGCUCUGGUCCACUUUUUCCAUCUUUUGUAUCCCCCAUUUGAACAGCCAUUUGCUAAUUUCCCCGUGACUAUUCUUGGUUCUAAUUUUCUGCAGCAGAUUCUUUUUAUUUGCCAAGUACCAUUCAAUACGCUUUGAAGACACGAUCUUUAGCUUCCUGCAGACAGCUUCAACUAGUUAAGAAACAUCGAUUGUGGUGCCAAUGGUAAUACCCUGGCAUUAUACUAGGGCAAGACAGAACAACUUGCUAGCUUAUAGAAAUGUCCCUCAAAUGCUAAAGCCUAGCUAGCAACCUCAGUUUCUAACGAAAGAGCAUCUCUACAUGUUGCGUAACUAACAAUCCCUUGAAUAUUAAAACUGAAAAGUGGAACUCAUUGGACCGUUGAUUUUAUGAUCAAUUCCACCGUACGACUUAAUUCAGAGUACAAUUGAGGUGGUCACGGCAAGGACUGAGUCAAGGGACAACCUAGCAUUUGCUGACCUGCUCUUCUCAGCAAAAGCUUCUUCUCUCACCAGCUUCAUGCCAUGGUUGCUGAUUGGAGGGGCUUUAUAAUUUAUUUAUUACAAAUGUGCUAUGAAAAAGAAAAAAAAUGCUAUGAUAUUAAAAAAAAAAAAAGAAUUUCCUCGUAGCUAUGAUAUUUGUGAUAUUAAUUAUGUUACACUUGUGAUCAUGUUGAUGAGAAUAAUAAUAAAUUCAUAUCGUUUUAGUAAUGUUUAUGUUAGCAAGUAAUGCUACUGAAGGUAAAGAAGCUGUGACGAAGAUGAUGGUGAUGUAAUGGUAAUGACGAUUAAAGUGAUUCAAAAAUAUUUUUCUUUUGAUAAUUUAUUAGUGUAUAUAUUUCAAAUGUUUAAGAUAUUUUUCAAAUAAAUGUACCUUAACUAUGAUAAAUGAUAUAUUCUCCGUUUGUUUGCAAUUUGAUUGUAAAGGCUUCCUUUUAACAUAAUUCUGCUUGAUAUACUCCAUGUAAUUACAAACUAAUUAGCUCAUUUUGGUCUUCUCACUUCUGGCAAUUAGUCAGUUUGAUGGCAACGUGCAACAAUGUACGGUCACCAACUGUUGUAUUGGACUUCGAUUCACCAAUAAUGCCCUGCAACUGAGUUUGAGCGUAGGAAUGGACAUUUGCAUUUUAGGCAAGGAAUUGCCUUGUAGAAUAGAAGAAGAAGAAGAAGAAGAAGGGGAAAAAACAAGCAAAGAUCAUAGUCUCAUUAAUUCUAUUCUUCGUAAAGAGCUCACUCUUGAGAUAACAUAAGAUCAACAAACGUUGUUUGUACUAAGAACACGUGAAGCUUUCAUGCUAACAUUUUCUUUUCUCCUCUUUAUAAAACUUUUUUUUUAAUAUAUAAGAUACGAUGGGAAACAACUUUACAGGCAUUAACAUUAGAAGAAAAAUCAACAGGAAGCUCCCAAAUGCUGCGUAAACAUAUAGCAAUUUUAUAAAGAAAAGGAAUACAUGACCCGAAAAAUAAAAUACAACACUCUGCAGAUGAAUCUCUUAUUCGGAACCACAAAACGCAGCUCAUAUAGCAGUAAAAAAAGAAGUAGGACUUGGAGGGAUUGGGAUUUCGACUGUCCCCUCCAACAUGAGGAGGACCUUUUUCAUUGAAGGGCGGAGGGAUGGCUCAUCAAGAGUGCACCAAAUUCCCACUUUAACCAUCCUAUCUAGCUGUUUCUUUUCGGCGACUUCUUCGCCCACAAGCUUGUCCAUAUCACCGUCCUGAAAACAUUGGUAAACCCACUGUUCGAGAACAGCUUCAUCUUCUGGAAGACUCCAAUCCACAUUCUUUCGACAACAUGUUAUCUCCAACAACAUAACUCCAAAGCUGUAAACAUCUGCUUUAACUGUCACCGGCAUAUUCCGGUGCCAUUCUGGUGCUACAUAUCCCCUCGUCCCUCUGAUUCCGGUGAAGGUUUUAGUUUGGUCUGACUUCAGCAACUUUGCCAAUCCAAAGUCAGAAACUUUGGGGCACCUGCUUUCAUCUAUUAGUAUAUUCUGAGGUUUUAUAUCACAGUGGAUGAUCUGAGUGUCGCACUCUUCAUGUAGAUAAACAAUACCCCUUGCAAUGUUGCGAGCAAUUUCCAACCUUUCAGGGAAGCAAGGUCGUUUUUCAAGUGAGAAGAGUAUGUCAGCGAGGGAGCCAUUGCUCAUGUACUCGUAUACCAGGAGCCUGUGAUGUUCAUCAUGGCAAUAGCCGAGCAGACGGACUAGGUUUCUGUGAUGUGUUUUCCCAAUGACUUUCAUCUCAUUCUGAAAUUCUCUUUCCCCUUCAGCUAGAACUUUCUCCAGUCUCUUUACAGCAACAACCUUCCGAGUACUUGAUAUUAUCCCUUUAUAAACUGUCCCAAAUGAUCCCCUGCCAAUUUCUUCCUUGAAACCACCAGUAAUAUUUUCUAGCUCUGCAUAAGUGAAAGCUCGAGGAGCAAAUUCCUCAUUCAUUCCCGUACUAUCAUUACUGGGCACCUG
rnacentral:lncRNA from 1 species